CUCAGAACGAACGCUGGCGGCGUGCUUAACACAUGCAAGUCGAACGCGAAAGGGACUUCGGUCCUGAGUAAAGUGGCGCACGGGUGAGUAACGCGUAGAUAACCUGUCUUCAUGUCUGGAAUAAUACGCCGAAAGGGGUACUAAUACCGGAUAUCUUGCUUUUCAUAAGUUAUGCAAGCAAAGGUGGCCUCUGCAUAUGCUACUGCAUGAAGAGGGGUCUGCGUACCAUUAGCUAGUAGGUGGGGUAAUGGCCUACCUAGGCGACGAUGGUUAGCGGGUCUGAGAGGAUGAUCCGCCACACUGGCACUGGAACACGGGCCAGACUCCUACGGGAGGCAGCAGUGAGGAAUAUUGCGCAAUGGGGGAAACCCUGACGCAGCGACGCCGCGUGAAGUGAGGAAGGCCUUCGGGUCGUAAAGCUCUGUCAAGAGGAAAGAAGUGUACAAUGGCUAAUACCUGUUGUAUUUGACGGUACCUCUAAAGGAAGCACCGGCUAACUCCGUGCCAGCCGCGGC
rnacentral:rRNA from 1 species